GUCCAGGCUUCAGAAGUGUGUUUAUCUUUCAUCUACUGAAGUUGAGUAUGUGGCAAUAGCUGAAGCUGGAAAGAGAUGAUAUGGCUGGCAGAGCGAGAAGAUUCUUUACUCAGAUAGCCAGAGUGCCAUACAGUUGGUGAAAAAUCCAUUCUAUCAUUCGAAGACAAAGUACAUCAGAAGGCGAUACCAUUUCACUCGCAGGGCAGUGGAGGAUGGUGAUAUGUGCUUGGAGAAGAUAGAGGGUGCAAAGAAACCGGCAGACAUGUUGACGAAAUGUGUUGAAGUUGGGAAACUGAGGUUAUGUAAAACCUCAGUUGGUCUUCUGUAGUUGCUGCUACAGAUGUUGCGGUGCG
rnacentral:misc_RNA from 1 species